UGGGUAGGCGGGUUUCCUCCUUAUGGGU
rnacentral:piRNA from 1 species